GAUCAUGGCUCAGAUUGAACGCUGGCGGCAUGCCUUACACAUGCAAGUCGAACGGCAGCGGGCCUUCGGGUGCCGGCGAGUGGCGAACGGGUGAGUAAUGCAUCGGAACGUGCCAUUGAGUGGGGGGAUAACGUAGCGAAAGUUACGCUAAUACCGCAUAUUCUGUGAGCAGGAAAGCAGGGGACCGCAAGGCCUUGCGCUCUUUGAGCGGCCGAUGUCAGAUUAGCUAGUUGGUGAGGUAAAGGCUUACCAAGGCGACGAUCUGUAGCGGGUCUGAGAGGAUGAUCCGCCACACUGGAACUGAGACACGGUCCAGACUCCUACGGGAGGCAGCAGUGGGGAAUUUUGGACAAUGGGCGCAAGCCUGAUCCAGCCAUGCCGCGCGAGUGAAGAAGGCCUUCGGGUUGUAAAGCUCUUUCGGCCGGGAAGAAAUCGCAUGGGUUAAUACCCUGUGUGGAUGACGGUACCGGAAUAAGAAGCACCGGCUAACUACGUG
rnacentral:rRNA from 1 species